ACAGUACAAACUGAGCAGGCGAUGAACCUAGUCUAUAGGUUCGUGGGGCUGGGCCACUCUUGUGGCAGCAGAUGAAUGUAACACAUCUGCGGGACAGU
rnacentral:ncRNA from 1 species